rnacentral:rRNA from 1 species
CCUACGGGUGGCAGCAGUGGGGAAUAUUGCGCAAUGGGCGAAAGCCUGACGCAGCGACGCCGCGUGAGGGAUGAAGGUCUUCGGAUCGUAAACCUCUGUUAGCAGGGAAGAACGUUUACUGUGCGAAUCAGUUGUAAAUUGACGGUACCUGCAAAGGAAGCACCGGCUAACUCAGUGCCAGCAGCCGCGGUAAUACGGAGGGUGCGAGCGUUAUUCGGAAUUAUUGGGCGUAAAGCGCUCGUAGGCGGUAUGUCAAGUCCAGGGUUAAAUCCCCGGGCUCAACGUGCGGACGGCCUUUGAAACUAGCAAACUGGAGUGAGAGAGAGGUAAGUGGAAUUCCAGGUGAAGGGGUGAAAUGCGUAGAUAUAUGGAAGAACACCAGAGGCGAAGGCGACUAUCUGGCACAUUACUGACGCUGAGGAGCGAAAGCGUGGGUAGCAAACAGGAUUAGAUACCCCUGUAGUC